GGUGGAGUCGCAUAGACCGGCCUAGUGCGCGGCACUCGAAAUGCCGUAAGGGGGUGACCCCUUCGUGGGUUCGAAUCCCACCUCCACCACCA
rnacentral:tRNA from 1 species